rnacentral:rRNA from 1 species
GAUGAACGCUGGCGGCGUGCCUAAUACAUGCAAGUCGAGCGAACAGACGAGAAGCUUGCUCUUCUGAUGUUAGCGGCGGACGGGUGAGUAACACGUGGAUAACCUACCUAUAAGACUGGGAUAACUUCGGGAAACCGGAGCUAAUACCGGAUAAUAUUUUGAACCGCAUGGUUCAAAAGUGAAAGACGGUUUUGCUGUCACUUAUAGAUGGAUCCGCGCUGCAUUAGCUAGUUGGUAAGGUAACGGCUUACCAAGGCAACGAUGCAUAGCCGACCUGAGAGGGUGAUCGGCCACACUGGAACUGAGACACGGUCCAGACUCCUACGGGAGGCAGCAGUAGGGAAUCUUCCGCAAUGGGCGAAAGCCUGACGGAGCAACGCCGCGUGAGUGAUGAAGGUCUUCCGAUCGUAAAACUCUGUUAUUAGGGAAGAACAUAUGUGUAAGUAACUGUGCACAUCUUGACGGUACCUAAUCAGAAAGCCACGGCUAACUACGUG